GACUCCCCGCACCGGUCACAGUUGUCGGAGGGUGGGAUCUCGCUGACGACGGUGCCCCUCCCUCCUAUCACAAGAGGCUCCUGCCAAGACCAAAUACGGCCCGCUGAAGGAUGAGGACCGUAUCUUCACCAACCUGUAUGGCAGGCACGACUGGAGGCUGAAGGGGGCGCUACGGCGGGGCGACUGGUACAAGACGAAGGAGAUCCUGCUGAAGGGGGCGGACUGGAUCCUCGGGGAGGUGAAGACGUCCGGGCUGAGGGGUCUGGGAGGGGCCGGGUUUCCGACCGUCAUGAGGUGGGGCUUCAUGAACAAGCCUUCAGAUGGCAGUCUCUUACUCGGGACCUCAGUGGAUUCACGUCGAUUUUAACUGCGGGGGUCA